CAUUGGUCCUCCAGGCCCACCUCGCUAGGUCUCUAUUGGUCGGAGCGCACGUCAGUCAUUGCUCAGCCCCCGCCCCCGAUCAUGUGGUCGAUCAGGGGCGUCGCCACCGUACCCACUCGCUCCACUCGGGGUCCUGUUAGCCUUAGUCGGACUCUUGGGCAGAGGGUUUACAGAUGGGAAACUCAGAUCAAACAUCGAGUCAUGUGAUUCAUCAGGACAUGAAGGUCAUCGGCAAUAUGGAGGGGGAGAGCAGCAUAUACCGCAUGGACAAACAUUACACAUGUUCUGUGUGUGGGCAUGGAUUCAACCGAGCGUAUGACCUGGGGAGGCACAAAUGUAUCCAAAAUAGGGAGAGGCCAUGUAAAUGUGGGGACUGCGGGAAGGGGUUCAGUUACCCCCUCUGAGCCGGAAACUCAUCGACGCAUUCACACCGGGGAGAGGCCAUUUACCUGCUCUGUGUGUGGGAAGGGAUUUGUUCGAUUUUGCAAUCUGCGGUCACACCAGCAAGUUCAUAGUGAAGAGAGACUGUUCAUCUGCUCCAUGUGUGGGAAGGGAUUCACUCGAUUUUCCCACCUGCUGAGACACCAUAAAGUUCACGCUGGGGAGAGACCCUUCACUUGCUCUGUGUGUGGGAGGGGAUUUUCUGAUUCAUCCGACCUGCUGAAACACCAGCGAGUUCACACAGGGGAGAGAUCGUUCACCUGCCCCAAGUGUGGGGAGAGAUUCACUCAAAUCUCUCACCUACUGAGACACCAGCGAACUCAUACCAGGGAAAGGCCCUUCAGCUGCCCCGUUUGUGAGAAGAGAUUCACUCAAGCGUCCAACCUGCUGCGACACCAGCGAGUUCACACCGGGGAGAGGCCGUUCAUCUGCUCCCUGUGUGAAAAGGGAUUUGCUGAGUCUUCAACCCUGCUGAGACACCAGCAGGUGCACACGGGAAGAGAUCAUUGAUCUGCUCCAUUUGUGGGAAGGGAUUCAUUCAAUCAUCCAACCUAGUGAAACACCAGCCAGUUCACGAGUGGCUGCACUGCUUUGAUUCUGCUGCUUUUUAUCAGAUUCAGGAAUGAACCUUGUUAAUUAUGAUAUUGGGUAAGUGUUGUUGAUGUUGCUGCUAACUACAGUAACUGAGGUUGCAUUUCUAUAGCGCCUCUCAAAAUCUCAGGCUGUCUUUGUGCACAGUAAGCCUCCACAAACAGCAAUGUGAUAAUAAGCAGAGAUGAUCUGUUUUUAAUCAGAUUGGUUGAGGGUGAAAUAUUAUUCUCACCGGGAAGAAUCCCCCUGCUCUCCUUCAAAUUAAUGGCCAAUGGAUCUUUUACAUCUUCCUGAGAGGGCAAACGGGGCCCUCGGUUUAAUAUCCUCAUAUAUCCUUAUGUUGCUCCUAUGAAGUCUUUUGGGCUGUUUCUCACUGCGUGAAAGAAGCUUUAUAAAUGUGAGAUGAAUGUGACGUUGCAAACAUAGAUGCACUGGAGCAGAUGAUGCUUGUAUGUGUGUGUGUUUGCGCUCGAUCAGAAACUGAGCUCCAGAUUAUUUUGUUGAUUUCUUCUCCAAAGCAGAUGAGAAAAUGGGUCUUUAAUUUAACACUCGGAAAAUUCUUCCAAGCAGCUCCCACAGCAGAGCGCCUCCCUCCCUCCAUUAAGAUCAAUGGUGAAACCCUGGAAAGUGUGGACAUUUUCCACAUCUUGGGAGCCUUCUCUUGGCAAAGACAGACAAAGACAAUGUGCCCACUCAGCCAUUGCCUGACUGAGGAAAAGAGUAUUUGAGGACCAGGAUCUCAAACCUGAGACUAAGGUCAUGGUUUACACUGAUCCCUGCAUUGCCACAUGUUUCAGAGAUUUGGACAACCGAUAAAAGGCACCUCAAGGCACUGGAGAAGUCCCACCAGUGAUGCCAGUGCAAGAUCCUUCAAAUGCAAUGGUGAGGAAGGCGGACUGCAGCAAGAUCCUCUCCCAGGUCAACCUGCCCUGUAUCAAGGGGCUAAUCGCUCUAAACCAGCUCCGCUGUGCAGGGCAUGUCAUUUGUCUGGCUGACACCAGACUCUCAAAGCAACCGCUCUAUUCAGAACUCAGUCACAACAGGAGACUCUCGAGAGGACAGCAGAACCAUUCAGGGAUGUCCUCAAAGAAUCUCUGGAGAGCUCAAACAUUCCCGCAGUCUCAUGGGAGACCCUGGCUUGUGACUGACCAAAACAGAGGAGACUCAUUCGGGAAGGCACUGAACAUAUCAGGAACUUGUGGAGGUGAAGUCGAGGCUUUGGAGGGAGCACACAAACCGCCAGACCCCCCUCAUCUAUCCAACCCUUCAAGCACCACCUGUCCCACGUCUAGUGGAGUGUCCUGAUUGCCCAUUGGAUUUAUUACCCAUCUCUGAACUCAUUGAACAGACUGUAAACCAGUCACCCUCAAUCCCGAAGGCCUGCAUAAGAAGAGGAGAGGGUAAAGCUGACCCAGCUGCUGCUGAGAGCUGACCAAAUGGGAACCGUCACAGAGCCUGGAGCAAAGAGCAAGAGGAGUUUUCAGAGAAAGAGCAGGUUAUCGAGAUCUGAGGAGAAAAAGCCAGCUGGCUAUCAUUAUAAAAUUACUGGAAUCUUACACUGGAGAAAGAGGUUUUAAGUCUUUUUCCUUUCAGGCUAGGAGCUUUUCUGCUGCACUGCUCUCACACAAACCCUGUUCAGGAGCCAAUGAAAACAUUGUUGCCAGGCAGUUCCCCAUUAGACCAGACUCCCUCUCACCACCAUCCUGUCUUUCAUGAUGGACGAUAGGGUCGUGUAACUUUACAAGUAGUUGCUGCAAAUGGAGGAGGAAGGUUCAGAAUGGACAAAUUUCCUUUUACUUUCUGGAUCUCUCUAGCUUUUCAUUCAGAUCUGCCAGCGUGACAUUGGCCAGCUAAAUUUCUCUGUUCCCUUCACUCACUCUGACCUAUCUCCCUCUGAACUGGUCAUUCUCCAUUCUCUCAGGUCCAAGCCUGAGGUGACCGGGGUUUGUGUGAAAGCAGUGCAGCAGAGUGUGCAAUGUGGAAGGGGAGAGCAGCAUUCACAACGCGGACAAACUGUACACGUGUUCCAUGUGUGGAUGUGGAUUCGACCAAUUGACCUGCGGAACCACAAGUGUAACCAAGACAGGGAGAGGCUGUGUAAAUGUGGGGAGUGCAGGAAGGGAUUCAAUUGCCCCUCCGCACUGGAUGCAGCCCUAAUAGGGAGAGACUGUUCACCUGCUCUGUGUGUGGAUAAGGAUUCACUCAAUCUUCCCCCUUGUGGGUACACCAGGGAGUUCACACUGGGCAGAGACCCUUCACCUGCUCCGUGAGUUGGAAGGGAUUGAAUCGAUCAUCCAACCUGGUGAAACAGCAGCAAAUUCACACCGGGGAGAGACCCUUCACCUGUCCUGAGUGUGGGAAGAGAUUUAAUUGAUCAUUCAAUCUGGUGAAACACCAAUGAGUUCACAUGUGACUGCACUACUCUGAUUCUGCUGCUGUUAAUCAGAUUCAGGAGAGAACCUUGUUAAUUAUGAUAUUGGGGAAUGUUGAUGUUAUUGCUGAUAACCACAGUAACUGGGCUAGAGUUGACAGAAUUUGCAUUUAUGUCGCUCUAUUCACAGCCUCAGGACAUUUCUGUACUCCAUAAGCCUCCACAAACAGCAAUGUGAUCAUGACCAGAGAGGUGAUCUGUUUUUAGUGAAAUUGGUUGAGGGUGGAACAUUGGCCUCACCGGGGAGAACUUCCCUGCUCUCCUUUGAAAUACUGACUGUGGGACCUUUCACAUCUGCCUGAGAGGGCAGAUGGGGCACUUGGUAUAACAUCCUCAUAUCUCCUUCUGUGGUUCAGGGUCAUCACUCUGUGAAGUCCCUUGGGUUGUUUCUCACUGCAUGAAAGUAGCUUUAUAAAUGUGAGAUGAAUGCGACAUCACAGACAUAGCUGUGCAGGGUAAAACUGAACCAGGUACUGCCUGCAGCUGAGAGCUGAACACACAGGAACCAUCACAGAGCCUGGAGCAAAGAGAUAAAGACCCAAAGAAAGGCGGGAUGAAUGAAUCUGAUUUUAAAAUGCCUCAUGGCAGGCGGGGAAUCUGUCCAGCUUCUGUAAAAUAAUAGUACAGAGAGUGGGGAGGGAGCACUACAAAAUACACUCUGUAUCAUCCUCACAACUUACUUUCCUACUUAUCUUUGUACCAUUAGCAAAUGUGACUACAAUACAGUCAGUCCCUUCAUCCCAGUUAUUGAUAUAAGUUGUAAAUAGUUGAGACCCCAGCACUGAAUCCUUUGGCUGUCCACUAGUUAGUUUGCCAAACUGAAAAUGGUCCAUUUAUCUGCUCCCUGUUAGUUAACUAAUGCUCUAACCAGGCUAAUAUAUCACUCCCAAAACCAUGAGCUCUUGUCUUGUGCAGCAAGCAGCCUUCUAAGUCGCACUUUAUCAAAUGUUGUUUGGAAAUUCAAAUGCACUACAUCUGUUGGUACCAAUUUAUCCACCCUAUAUGUUACAUCCUGAAAGAACACUAAUAAAUUUGUCAAACAUGACUUUGCUUUUAUAAA